rnacentral:tRNA from 1 species
GCUCCAUGGCUUAGCCUGGUAGAGCGCACGACUGAUAAUCGUGAGGUCCCGAGUUCAAACACGGUCACUAGCG